CAAUAGAGCGAGCUUCCUUCUCAGACAUCAACUUGUGCUGCUUCAGGUGCCAAGAUCGGUCAGAGAACAGGAUGUCAGUGGCAGAGUUGUUGCUACACUGUUAUCUCUUCAGAACGAGGCACAAGGAGAGAUGAAUGCCACAUCGCAAGGAGCAGAGGAGAAAGAGAGAAAGAAAUGUGUCAGGUGGCAUGUUGGAUGUGAUUCUGUUUCAGUAGAGACUGAGAUGACCAUCAAUUGCUCAGCUGACUGCUCCAGGCUGAUACCUUUGUGUCUGCUGAGGAUUCUUGCCUAGCCCUGUUUCAACUACAGAUUGGUCUUGUCUCCCCAAUAAAACUUCUGCCACUUAAACCA